UACGAAGGGGGCUAGCGUUGUUCGGAAUUACUGGGCGUAAAGCGCGCGCAGGCGGCUAUCCAAGUCAGUGGUGAAAGCCCGGAGCUCAACUCCGGAACUGCCAUUGAAACUGUUUAGCUUGAGGACGAGAGAGGUGAGUGGAAUUCCCAGUGUAGAGGUGAAAUUCGUAGAUAUGUGGAGGAACACCAAUGGCGAAGGCAGCCUUCUGGGCCAACACUGACGCUCAUGCACGAAAGCGUGGGGAGCAAACAGG
rnacentral:rRNA from 1 species